GCUUGUUUUUAAAAGAAUUUUGAUGCAAUUUUGUUCGAGACUGUUUAUCUUUGGCAUCGAUCUCAAUACGGAUUACUCCAAGGAGCGCCUUCGUCAUAUUUUGAUCUAUUAUUAUUUCGAAAAGGAACAAAUGCUGUGCGAGCACAUAAAAGAUGGAGCUGCAAGAAUCAUUAUUGCUGACGUAAAAUAAGCUCGAGUAUCAACAUCCAGUCUCACCGUAUCCACGCAUCCCAAAAGCACCCCUAAAAAGGGCGAUCACCAGAAAACGCAGCGACCCCUAAAAAUCUCAGAAAUUAACGAGCCGUCUCAGCGUCCAACCAGCACCGAAUUGCAACUCCGCAACCUGAAACCUGGUCUCCGUCAGCUCCGACACACCGCCUAAAUCUGCAACCUCGCACGGUCUCCCGGCUCGCAACCCCUCGGCACAGCACUCGCAUGAAAAUUUCUCGCCGAACCAUCGCCCCGGCGCCGUGCCUCCGAGGAGCCGGAAAAAUGGUUGACAAAAUCACGUAGAGAAAUCGCCCCCCCCCCUCCCCCGGUAAUCCCGGGGCGGCAGCCCAAGGUCAGCCGGCCGAAAAACCCACCCCAGUCAUCAUGGAACGCCUCGAAAGAAAAAAAAUCGUGUCCGCCGGUGUGCGGGUCUCGGCAUCCAAGGCCAUCCAGCCAGCCAGCCGUCGAGUUACCGAUCCGCCGUCGUCAGCAACCAGCCGAAUCAUUUUAAAUCGAUUAUCAACCCCGAGCAAUAAGUACUCGCGAUGUAAACAGCAGGCGGCGACGAGGUGGGGAGGUGUGGGGGGACAGCAAUCCGCCCCCUGUUCGCACCUAGUAGUC